AAUGAACGUUGGCGGCGUGGAUUAGGCAUGCAAGUCGAGCGGAAAGGCCCGCAAGGGCACUCGAGCGGCGUAAGGGACAGUAAUGUGUAGGUAACGUACCCCUGGGUCUAGGAUAGCUGCGGGAAACCGCAAUUAAUACUAGAUAACGUCUCCGGACCAAAGGUGUGAUUCCACCUGGGGAGCGGCCUACAUCCUAUUAGCUAGUUGGCGAGGUAAUGGCUCACCAAGGCGAAGAUGGGUAGCAGGUGUGAGAGCACGACCUGCGUCACUGGGACUGAGACACUGCCCAGACACCUACGGGCGGCUGCAGUCGAGAAUCUUCGGCAAUGGGUGAAAGCCUGACCGAGCGACGCCGCGUGUGGGAUGAAGGCCUUCGGGUUGUAAACCACUGUCGGAGGGGAUGAAGUGUUAGUGGGUUCUCCCAUUAACUUGACUGAUCCUCGGAGGAAGGGUGGGCUAAGUUCGUGCCAGCCGCCGCAGUAAUAC
rnacentral:rRNA from 1 species